CCUACGUGAGGCAGCAGUGAGGAAUAUUGGUCAAUGGGCGCGAGCCUGAACCAGCCAAGUAGCGUGAAGGAUGACUGCCCUACGGGUUGUCCACUUCUUUUAUAAAGGAAUCAAGUGAGGCACGUGUGCCUUUUUUUAUGUACUUUAUGAAUAAGGAUCGGCUAACUCCGUUCCAGCAGCCUCCGUAAUACGGAGGAUCCGAGCGUUAUCCGGAUUUAUUUGGUUUAAAGGGAGCGUAGAUGGAUUGUUAAGUCAGUUGUGAAAGUUUGCGGCUCAACCGUAAAAUUGCAGUUGAAACUGGCAGUCGUGAGUACAGUAGAGGUGGGCGGAAUUCGUGGUGUAGCGGUGAAAUGCUUAGAUAUCACGAAGAACUCCGAUUGCGAAGGCAGUUCACUGGACUGCAACUGACACUGAGGCUCGAAAGUGUGGGUAUCAAACAGGAUUAGAUACCCCGGUAGUC
rnacentral:rRNA from 1 species